GAAAUGUGGAUCUGUCGCCCGACAACGUGCCCGACAUCAAUGUGAUAACAGGGGUUUUGAAAGACUACUUGAGGGAACUGCCCGAACCGCUGUUCGCCCGAAGUCUAUAUCAGAUGCUUCUCGAUGCGUUAGCGGUUUUACUACCGGACGAUCCGCAAGCCAACGCCAAAUUAAUGUUGUCAAUAUUAGAUUGUCUGCCGAAACUCAAUAGAGCCACUUUGACGUACAUUAUGGAUCAUUUAGCAUUAGUCGUGUCGCAAUCGCCCCGGAAUAAGAUGUCCGCCCAAAACCUAUCAAUAUGUUUAGCCCCUGUGUUGAUGGUGCAAAGCGAAC